rnacentral:rRNA from 1 species
AUGAAGGAUGCUGCUGUGAGCCAUGCCACCCCAUCAGCAAGCGUUGAAGUGGACGCUCCCGAGACGAACCUAAGCAAGGAAGAUUCCUGCUCAUCUGACACUGAUUCCAAGCGCGUGCGUGGUGGCACUCCUGUGUCCACGACAGAAGCGGCUGAGGCGGCAGUUCACAAGGAUAUGCCAUCUACAGGUGAGAGUCCUGGCACAACAGCUCCAUCUCCUGUUGGUGUAGAUACUGCUAAGACAACUGUUUCGCAUGCUGGUCUUCCACCUAGGCGCCGUAGCCCCCGCAAGCAACCAACAGACAUACCCAACGCAUCGGCUGCAGCUAGGAGCAGGAGAGACGAGUCUGGUUAUGUUCCCGCGUCCACACUGUUCCCGUCACCUGCCAAAAGCAAUAUGAUGGAGAAACCGGAAGACCGGAGCACAACUGAUGCAGGUGUCAAGCCGGGCACGAGUGACGCAGGUGAACGCCCGGAGCAGACUGUGCCUUUACCCGCAUUGGAAAUCCCCAGCAUAAAUCUGCGCACUUCCAGGCUCCCAGUCAAUGUCGGUGUCCCCUACAGCCCAAACAAGAAGAUUGUCAAGAAAGCCGCGGCUGAUACCGCUGAUAACACGCCCUGCCCUGCAAAUAAGCCCGAUCAUUCUAUAGCGGCUGAUUCAGAUAUGUUUGUCGAUCUUUCACCCUUGGAUUCUGCCCCGCAAGUUGUUCGUGGUCCGGCCAGUAGGAAUGAGAGGCACCCAAUGGCCUUUACCCCACCGAGCUUCAGCCUUGGCAUCAGUCAAGAUCAACCGGUGGUGCAAGAUCCUAUGCCAGUUGCCUUUGCUUUCCCAGGAGGCAUGCCCGCAAUGAUGGCGCAGUCAAUGGUCGAGGGCAGGAAGGCUGUCAAGUUCGCAAAGCCGAUUGUGCAAGCCACCCCUGAGGAGAUUUCACCGUCACUUGACGAAGCUUACCGCAUGAUCGAGGAGGCAACAUUGCAUAGGAGGUCCUCACGAGGGCAAGGGCAAUCAAGUUCCAAUGCGCCUGCAGAUACGGUAUCUGAGGAUACCAUUAGGAGUGCCACUCCUGGUUCUGUGAGGCAGUAG